rnacentral:rRNA from 1 species
GACGAACGCUGGCGGCGUGCUUAACACAUGCAAGUCGAACGGAAAGGCCCUGCUUUUGUGGGGUGCUCGAGUGGCGAACGGGUGAGUAACACGUGAGUAACCUGCCCUUGACUUUGGGAUAACUUCAGGAAACUGGGGCUAAUACCGGAUAGGAGCUCCUGCUGCAUGGUGGGGGUUGGAAAGUUUCGGCGGUUGGGGAUGGACUCGCGGCUUAUCAGCUUGUUGGUGGGGUAGUGGCUUACCAAGGCUUUGACGGGUAGCCGGCCUGAGAGGGUGACCGGCCACAUUGGGACUGAGGUACGGCGCAGACUCCUACGGGAGGCAGCAGUGGGGAAUAUUGCACAAUGGGCGGAAGCGUGAUGCAGCAACGCCGCGUGCGGGAUGACGGCCUUCGGGUUGUAAACCGCUUUCGCCUGUGACGAAGCGUGAGUGACGGUAAUGGGUAAAGAAGCACCGGCUAACUACGUG